GAUGAACGCUGGCGGCGUGCCUAAUACAUGCAAGUCGAGCGAACUUCUUAAGAGCUUGCUCUUAAGAAGUUAGCGGCGGACGGGUGAGUAACACGUAGAUAACCUGCCUAUAAGACUGGGAUAACUCCGGGAAACCGGGGCUAAUACCGGAUAACAUUUUGCACCGCAUGGUGCGAAAUUGAAAGGCGGCUUCGGCUGUCACUUAUAGAUGGACCUGCGGCGCAUUAGCUAGUUGGUGAGGUAACGGCUCACCAAGGCGACGAUGCGUAGCCGACCUGAGAGGGUGAUCGGCCACACUGGGACUGAGACACGGCCCAGACUCCUACGGGAGGCAGCAGUAGGGAAUCUUCCGCAAUGGACGAAAGUCUGACGGAGCAACGCCGCGUGAGCGAUGAAGGCCUUCGGGUCGUAAAGCUCUGUUGUUAGGGAAGAACAAGUGCUAGUUGAAUAAGCUGGCACCUUGACGGUACCUAACCAGAAAGCCACGGCUAACUACGUGCCAGCAGCCGCGGUAA
rnacentral:rRNA from 1 species